GCACAAGCGGUGGAGCAUGUGGUUUAAUUCGACGCAACGCGCAGAACCUUACCAGCCCUUGACAUCCCGGUCGCGGACUCCAGAGACGGAGUUCUUCAGUUCGGCUGGACCGGAGACAGGUGCUGCAUGGCUGUCGUCAGCUCGUGUCGUGAGAUGUUGGGUUAAGUCCCGCAACGAGCGCAACCCCCGUCCUUAGUUGCUACCAUUUAGUUGAGCACUCUAAGGAGACUGCCGGUGAUAAGCCGCGAGGAAGGUGGGGAUGACGUCAAGUCCUCAUGGCCCUUACGGGCUGGGCUACACACGUGCUACAAUGGCGGUGACAAUGGGACGCUAAGGGGCAACCCUUCGCAAAUCUCAAAAAGCCGUCUCAGUUCGGAUUGGGCUCUGCAACUCGAGCCCAUGAAAUUGGAAUCGCUAGUAAUCGUGGAUCAGCAUGCCACGGUGAAUACGUUCCCGGGC
rnacentral:rRNA from 1 species